AUUGAACGCUGGCGGCAUGCCUUACACAUGCAAGUCGAACGGCAGCACGGGUGCUUGCACCUGGUGGCGAGUGGCGAACGGGUGAGUAAUACAUCGGAACGUACCUUAUCGUGGGGGAUAACGCAGCGAAAGCUGUGCUAAUACCGCAUACGCCCUGAGGGGGAAAGCGGGGGGAUCGCAAGACCUCGCGCGAUUAGAGCGGCCGAUGCCUGAUUAGCUUGUUGGUGGGGUAAAAGCCCACCAAGGCGACGAUCAGUAGCUGGUCUGAGAGGACGAUCAGCCACACUGGGACUGAGACACGGCCCAGACGCCUACGGGAGGCAGCAGUGGGGAAUUUUGGACAAUGGGGGCAACCCUGAUCCAGCAAUGCCGCGUGAGUGAAGAAGGCCUUCGGGUCGUAAAGCUCUUUUGUCAGGGAAGAAACACCGGCUCUAACACAGUCCGGGAAUGACGGUACCUGAAGAAUAAGCACCGGCUAACUACGUGCCAGCAGCCGCCGUAA
rnacentral:rRNA from 1 species